UCACCUUCAUAAUAUUGUAACUUAGGUUUCAAAAUAUUCUGAUGGGCAUGUUUCAGCUCUGUAAGUUCUUCCUGCCUUAUUUCCAGGGGUGUUUCACAGUGACUGCACAGACUUCGGUCCCUGAAGGACUGGCCUUACUACUGCAGAGAGUAAAACACCCAGAUUGAGAAACUGUCAUGUGACAAUGAUCACACGGCGCCUUUGAGAUGAAAUGUGUUCAGGAGUGUCACUUUUAAAAAAGAUCCAUUCAUUGACUCUUUAUAAUUGGAGAUUGUUCCACAAAAUGGCCCAGUUUUCUCCCACAGCCUCCUUGCCUAUUCUAGAGCACCUGCUGCACCACGGUCGAGAUCAUCUUCACACACAACAAAUCUGAAAACACUCUGAGGAUGCCACAUGGUCGGAUGUGGUAGGCAGAACAAGAGCCCCCCAGGAUGUCCACAUCCGGAUCCUCAGCAUCUGUAAAUAUGUCACCUUAUAUGACAAAGGGGAUUAAGGUUGCAGAGAGAAUUCAUGUUAUUAACAACCUGCUUAAAGACAGGGAUUCUCCUUGACUACCCGAGUGGGCCCCCCGUCAUCACAAGAACCCUUCAAGGUGGAAGAGGAGGUGUGAUGGCAGAAGCAGAGGUCAGUGUAAUGUGAUUGCUUUGAAGGUGAGUGAGCCAUGACUGGGUGGUUUCUAGAAGCCAGAAAAAGCAAGGAUAGGAAUUCUCCUAUCCUUUUAGGAGGAUUUAGGGAAGGCUAAAGUCUCCAAAAAGGAGCAUAGUCCGACUGACCCAGGGUUAUUAGCCCAGAAAGACUGUGGCAGACCUCUGAUCUACAGAGCUGUAAGCUGGAGCGUUUCCUGGCCUCUUUCACCAAACAUUAUGUCCUCCCUUUUCUGUGUUCCUCAGCAUGAGGUUUGUCUGCAUGCCGUGUCAGGCACUGAUUUAUGACAAUCCUGAAAGUGAAGUCCCUGUUUCUCUAUGUCCAGUAUGCUACCUCACCAAAGUCAGUCUUCAGAAAGUAGGUGAGGAUUUAUUGCAUUCCAGUUAAAAGCAGCUGCGCCAUUAUAUGAAAUCUUAUUUAUUUAUUGAAAUGGAGUCUCACUCUGUUGCUCAGGCUGGAGUGCAAUGACACAAUCUCGGCUCACUGCAACUUCAGCCUCCCAAGUUCAGGUGAUUCACCUGCCUUAGAUCCUAAGUAACCAGGAUUACAGGAAUGCCCCACCAUGCUCGGCUAAUUUUUUAUUUUUUUAGUAGAGACAGGGUGUCACAAUGUUGGCCAGGCUGGUCUCAAACUCCUGACCUCAGGUGAUCCAUCUGCCUCAGCCUCUCAAAGUGCUGGGAUCACAGGCGUGAGCC
rnacentral:lncRNA from 1 species